UACGAAGGGGGCGAGCGUUGUUCGGAAUCACUGGGCGUAAAGGGCGCGUAGGCGGCCCUCUUAGUCGCGUGUGAAAGCCCCGGGCUCAACCCGGGAACUGCGUCCGAUACUGGCAGGCUUGAAUCCGGGAGAGGGAUGCGGAAUUCCAGGUGUAGCGGUGAAAUGCGUAGAUAUCUGGAGGAACACCGGUGGCGAAGGCGGCAUCCUGGACCGGCAUUGACGCUGAGGCGCGAAAGCCAGGGGAGCAAAGCGGG
rnacentral:rRNA from 1 species